rnacentral:lncRNA from 1 species
UUUUACAGAGAUAACAUUAUCACGGUGGCAAGUUUCUAGGCAUGCACCUGUGUGUCAGCCUAUGCCUCAAUCUCUCAUUCGGCUGUAUCCUCUUAACUGUAAAGACUACACAUUGGUAUGGAUGUAUAUGCAGGGAUGCGGUCCUUAUGCUCACGUAGAGGUGUGGAGGUAAUUUCCACACUUUCCUCAGCAUGCACAACCCCUGCCUUCUGUAAGCUACGAUCUGACCUGGAAGCAUUCAUUAAAACCUCCAUUUCUUUUUGUACAAUUCUUGUUUCUCUCUACAGAUAGCGGUGAGCACUGCCCUUGGUUGCUGCUGGCUGAUGUGUGCUCUGGUUUUGUUCCUGUAGUGCACAACACAAGAAGCGGAGAAGCCUCUUUGCUGACAUGGAGUGCCACAAGCACUGAAGCAGAACACUAACCGAAUACACGAUUCCAGCCGCCGCACCCCACAGCCCCAUUUCUUCAGCACCUAAACUGAGCUUCUGGCAGGCAAACAGAGCCACAAACCGUUCCACGUAAAGCAGCACUUUGUGAACCAGGAGGUUCGGGC